GCUGCUUUCUUUCCAAGAGGCGCCGGUCGAGCCUCGGGCUGCUCCUUUUCCUUUGUCUGAGUUCGUAGUUCCUCGGGGUGAUCCUGACAUGGUGCCACUCCUCCAGCGCCCAGGAUUUAGGUCGUGGAAAGGAGUGUGGGGAUGUGGAGAGGAAGAAGCGUAUUUAACAUAUUUGUGUUUUCACGUGGCUAUUAAGUAUAUAGGAGGCAUCUCAGUUGUGAUCUCUGGGCAAGGGACAGAAAGUGAUCCACAUGCUUGUUGAGAAUAAUCCAAGAAAUGACACCAAUAAAGAGUUUCCCAACCAGAAAAAUGGGCCAUUUAGACAAAAAUGUUGGAUCUAUACCCCCACACUCUACACCAGGAUGGAUUCCAGAUGUGUCAAGGAUUUAUAUG